rnacentral:piRNA from 1 species
GUACUUGAGAUUAGGGAGUGGUGAUGACA